CUUUUUUUUUUUACAGAUACAGCAUCAUUUCAUCGUCUAUAUGGUGGGACAACCUGCUAGACAGGUUGAAGACAUCUGUAUCUACCUCAAAGAAGGCAUGGAGAGACACAUUAAAGAAUAUGUGAAUUGUGAAAUUGGUGAGUUGGGGAUUGCACAGACCGUGGAAGUUUUGCAAAACCUACUUGGUGUCACACAUGGGUGUGAAAUUACUUUUUGGACUCAUUUAUGCACUUAAACUGAACUACCAGAAGAACAUCAGGUGCACCUUUGACCUUUCAAAAAAUCCUAAUGGAACUGGACUUGAUACAACCAAGCAAUCACUGAAAGAUGCUUCAGUGAAUACCUGACAGACACGCUGAUGCAUCCCCCUCAAAGUGGGUACAUUUUUGUACAUUUACAAGUGAACUUUUUAACAUUAAAGGAAUAUUGCACUUUCAUUAAACAAAAAUCCUGAUAAUUUACUGUCUGUCAUCGAAAAUGCUUGUCUUUUUUUGUUCAGUCGAGAAGAAAUUGUUUUUUGAGAAAAACAUUCCAGGAUUUUUCUUAAUUUAAUAGACCUUAUUGGACCUCAACAGUUAAGUUUCAAAGCAGCUUUAAAGGGCUCUAAACGAUCCCAAUCGAGGCAUAAGGGUUUUAUCUAUUCAAAAGAUUAUCAUUUUUGGCAAGAAAACUUUUAAAACACAACAACUUGUCUUGCAUUAUCCAUGUGAUACACAGUGCGACAUUGUGUACUACGUAAUAACGUUGAAGUUUACACAUCACAAAUG